rnacentral:lncRNA from 1 species
UGGCAGUUACAGAUCAUCUGAAAUGACACUCUGUAGGAAGCAUUGUCUCUGGACACCCAUCUCAGCCCAACUUUCUGUGGCUUGCCAGAAAGCUCAGUUCAGCAGAUCUUGAAAGAUAAGCCCUGGACCCUCAAGCCCCAGUACAGACAAAGUCUGUGAGAGACACCUGUGCAAACCAGCCUCUUCCAUCCAUUCCAAAGCUGCAAGUAGCACAUCCAUUGCCACAAAGGUCAGGGUUCUUGUCAGCCACCGUUCAGGUAGGGGCCAAAGAGAUUUCUCUGUGCCUGACAUCCCGUCUGACAGAUGGGGACAUCCUGCAUCAGCUCUGCUGGAGAAGAUGGAUUGUCAUAGGAGAAAGAAAUCAUGGUAAACACUAGUGAUCAGAACUAUCAGUAACACAAUCAAAUUUUUUAUAUGGCCUAAGUAGCUUUUGAUGUGUAAGAAAGCACAUCCUUUAUAGAGAACUGCCUCAGCUAUGCCUCUGUAGCCUACAGGGAAGCAUUAAUGUUCAACUGGGUUCAUGUGUAGCAAGUUGUUGAUCUCAGUUUAGUCUUUGUUUCAUAUCCAACCUAAGCCUCAGCAAGGACACAGUGAUAGACUGCACUGACCAUCUGCCAGCUUCAGUUGUUUUGCUUUGUGCAGACACACAAGACCAGGAGGAGUUAUGGGGAGCCGGACAGGAAAAUCCUAUUGAAAUGUUGCCAGAAUCUUUCACUGUUCUGGCAAGGGGUGUUUACUGAUGCUCAUAUGUUUUAGUUUUUUUUACUAAAAAAUGCUUAACGUUUAUUUUACAAUGCUCUAAUUUAUUUUGGCUAGAUAUUAGCAACUCGCACAUUGCAAAAUGCUUUUAAACUGUGCUCUGUUCCCACUGUUUAUAACAAAACUCUCCCUGCUUCCAAUAGAGGGGACUCCACUCAAGGUACUGCCAAAAGGCAACGCUCCUUCAUGCACCACCCAGCACAACAAUGCUGGUCACGUCAAAGGAUGGGACCUACAGAAACAAGGCCUGCAGAUGGUGCCAGCAGUCGGCAAAAGCCAGAGGCAGUCCCCUGUCUGGGGAGCCAGCCGGGACUAAAUAGAAGUCACCCAUGAACAGGACACUCUUUGGCCCCAAAGGAUUUCCAAUUUCAAGGUUGCUGGAAGCUGAGGAAGCAGAUUCAGAAGUGUGCCUUAAAAUGUAUUUAAGCUUCUGUGUCACACUGCUGAAGACAUGCUGCUACGGGCAGGGAGGAAAGGAAGCUUAUACACUGUAUAUUUCCUGUUCUAUAUCCCUACUUCAAGUCUUUGCUCUGUACUGUGUGCUCUAGCUGUUAGCUUCAGUCUAAAACAAAUAGCCUGUUAACAGAGUCCAGGAGAAGAGGAAAACCUCAUUUUCCCAGCAGUGUC